UUGCUUAUGCCCUUCCUCCUGCCUGAAAUUGUCUUUCUUCCUUGCUUAGCUGGAAAAUUCAACCUUUACAGCCCAGAGAAGCAUUUAUGAGCGUCUAUUCUAUGUGACUACAGCUCCACUAAGACAGGUUGUGUCUCUUCCUCCAUUCAACACUGCUCUCUCAUGGAGGAUUUGACCAGCUACAUCACCUUUAUUUUAAAGCAGCUGCUGGUAGGAGUCGGAGAAGUUCCCUUGCAGAUUCUCCAAUUGCCAGCAGUGUUCAGGAAACCCCAGCCCAUGUGAACUCACCACUGCUCCUGCUUUUGCCACCUCGGCAGGGGAUGUGGAAGUCCCCAGGUGUGCUGCCUCCAAGCUCCAGAGACUGAUGUGAACAUCUGGUUUUCUGGAAACCAAGG
rnacentral:lncRNA from 1 species